ensembl:lncRNA
UUAACCUGAAACUGUUCUUAACCUGAAGCACCACUUUAGCUAAUGGAGCCUCCUGCUGCCGUCGCGCCGCCGGAGCACGAUUUCUGUUCUCAUCCUGAAGCAAAGUUCUUAACCUGAAGCACUAUUUCUGGGUUAGCGGAGUCUGCAACCUGAAGCGUAUGUAACCUGAGGUACCACUGUAAUUGUUACAAAAUAUAAGCAAAAUAUUGCAAAUACAUAUAUAUAUAUAUAUAUAUAUAUAUAUAUAUUUCAAAUAAGCACAUAUAUGUGAAAAAAGGAACAAAAGAGAAAAGAAGUAGAAAAAAUAAAGAGAAAAGAAGAAGAAAAGUUGGAAGAAUUUCUUCCAAAUUUAUUCUACAAAUAUCUUAAUAUGAAAAUAAUAAUAAAAUUUCAUUGGUUGACUUCCAUCGCUUACACUGCACUUCCUAUAUACAUUUUAAGCAAGACUGUAUCUGUCAUUCUGUAUUUUCCCCAUACCAUCUCACACAAAUAUUCUAAUCAAUAAGUUUUCUAAAUCUUUCAUAAAUCUAUUCUAAACACAACCGAUACCUUACAUUUAAUCCUUGUCUACAUAAAUAAUCAUUUUUAUAUUUUUCCAAUUUUUUUUAUUAAUUUUCAACAUUUAUCACAAACAUAACAUACAUAACACACAAAAAGAACCAUACGUUACAAUACUAAAGAAAAAUAAAACAAAAAUAAUAGACCUAUUACUUCUGAAACCCAAUUUAACUUUCAUUGUUAACUGACUUCCUCAAAUCCUCCCCAACUGAAUUUCAUUGAAUCGCUUUGUAACAGCUCUCCAAAAUCACAUUUCUCAUAAAAUUAGCUCCUUCAAUUUACUAUCCUCUUCUCUUUUCUUAAUAAUCUAGUCCAUAAUCUUUUAGAAUUCAUUCUUAUUCUAGUCCUAGGCCUGUUUGGUACUUUCAAGUAACUUCUAACGUCUUAUCUUACAAUAUUUAUAGAAAUAAUCAUUUAGACAUUUCCAUUGUUUCUGGAUUUUAUUUUUUGGUUUUUGUCUUAUAUUUUGUCGUUGUCUCUCCUUGCAGAAGGAGCCGCUCAUCCAAGUCCCAGCCAAGCCAGGAGGGAUGGGAACAGCCAGGUGAACAGGACUUGGUGAAUGAGUUGGACCCUCAAGCAGGAGACUGAAUGGAGAAACUACAGAAGGUAACUGAGCUGGUCUGGUCUGGGCCUGCCCUGGGAAACAGGUUCCAUGGGUUCUGUGGGGCUCUCAUUAUGGUGUGAGGAGGGGCUCUGUCUCACUAGAGGGUGCGUGCUCUGGUUAUCUCCCGCUUGGAAUACUGCAAUGGGCUCUACGUGGGGCUACCUUUGAAGGUGACCUGGAAACUACAACUAAUCCAGAAUGCGGCAGCUAGACUGGUGACUGGGAGUGGCCGCCGGGACCACAUAACACCGGUCCUGAGAGAUCUGCAUUGGCUCCCAGUAUGUUUCUGAGCACAAUUCAAAGUGUUGGUGCUGACCUUUAAAGCCCUAAACGGCCUCGGUCCAGUAUACCUGAAGGAGCGUCUCCACCCCCAUCGUUCAGCCCGGACACUGAGAUCCAGCACCGAGGGCCUUCUGGCGGUUCCCUCAUUGCGAGAAGUGAGGUUACAUGGAACCAGGCAGAGGGCCUUCUCGGUAGUGGCGCCCUCCCUGUGGAACGCCGGCUGAACGAUGGGGGUGGAGAUGCUCCUUCAGGUAUACUGGACUGAGGCCAUUUAGGGCUUUAAAGUCCCUUUGUGAGGGAAACAUGUGGUUGCAAGGUUGAGUGAGGGGAAAGGGGUUACUUGCUCUGUAUUCAUCUUCUUUUUAACUUCACUGAAUGUAAUAAUCAGUCCACCCAUCAGGUUCUUUCAGUACCUGCAAAUGAGAAGCUGACUUACAGCACUACAGGGAGGACUGUGAUGUGACCAGGGAUCUAAUUAAAUGGUGCUAAAUCUCCUUCUCUGUUUCCUGUGUUGAGCAGGGUGGUUGAAUGGCGUGGCCUGCAAGGUCCCUUCGGACUCUGUGAAAUUUGAAAACCCUCUUGGCAGGAUUCAUGUCCUUCAAAAGGUGGCUGUAGAAUAUUUGCAGAAUGACCAGUGGGUUUCUGUUCUGCUCAGCAGAAAUAUGCGAAAUGGGGGAGCAGUUCUAGUAAAACAGAUUCCAACACCCAUUUGGAAAUAUUUUUGGAAGAAACAGCCAACACCCUCUGUUGAUAUUUUAUUAAGUCGAUGAAGGGGAUUUUUUUUUAAAAAAAGUGGCAUGUUAGUGACAUCCCAGAAGUCUGUGAUUCCACAUGAUGAACUGAAUUUGAUCAGAGGCUCCAGUGUCUCUGCUGAGAUUAAAUUCACUCCAGAAUUCACACGCAGGAGGGUGCA